rnacentral:rRNA from 1 species
AUACGUAGGUGGCAAGCGUUGUCCGGAAUGACUGGGCGUAAAGGGUGCGUAGGCGGCCUGUUAAGUUAGAAGUGUAAUACCUGGGCUCAACUUGGGUGCUACUUCUAAGACUGACGGGCUUGAGUAUGGGAGAGGUAAGUGGAAUUCCUAGUGUAGCGGUGGAAUGCGUAGAUAUUAGGAGGAACACCAGCGGCGAAGGCGGCUUACUGGACCACAACUGACGCUGAGGCACGAAAGCGUGGGGAGCAAACAGGAUUAGAUACCCUGGUAGUCCACGCCGUAAACGAUGGAUACUAGGUGUAGGGGGUAUCGACGCCCUCUGUGCCGUCGCAAACGCAAUAAGUAUCCCGCCUGGGGAGUACGGCCGCAAGGCUAAA